rnacentral:lncRNA from 1 species
UAUAUAUAUAUAUACAUGCAUGCUGAUGAUGAUACUGACAUUAUGACAGACAUACAUACAUACACAUAACUGCUUUCUCCUUUUUGUAUUAUUGAUGCAGUAAAGGUGUCUUCAGAGUUUGCUGCACUGAAACUACUCGUUUCUCUCUGUGUUUUUCGACUGUUGCAAUGGCAAACCAACUCUCUCUUCAUAUUUGGCAAAAAAAAUAAAAUAAAAUCACGGGUUCG